rnacentral:lncRNA from 1 species
AAACCAUUCUGCGUCCCCCCCGGCCGGGGAGAAUGCGGGGAGACCGCGUUUAGAGGAUCAGUGGCGGCGGGCCCGCGCGGUGCCGGCGACUAGCAGCGAGAUGUCCUGGCCCCUUCCAGGUUUGGAGAUGGCCUUGGGAGAGCAACCUCCGGACCUCAGCAGUGUGAGGAUGACAACAGUACCCUGUGGUGCUGUCCCCACUCAGGUUGGCUGCCAUCCCUGCUGAUGGAGAGAGGCUGAAGUCUGUCUGAGAAGAUAGUGCAGGCAGCUACUUAGCUGGUACUAAUUGUAUUUGCAGAGUAGGGGGUUUCUCUCUGUAGCCCCGACUGUCCUGGAACUCACUCUGCAGACCAGGCUGUCCUCAAGCUCAGAGAUCUACCUGCCUCUGCCUCUGAAGUACUGGGAUUAAAGAUGCAGAGGCCUCCCAGAGAAGUGUGAAGGAAUGGGCCUUAACCAGGGUUGAAGAAAGAAAGUGAAGAAGGGGAGAGCCCAAGGAAAGGUGGGGACAGUUGGAACUUUUGUUUACACUGGUCUACUACUCAUGUAUCGUAUGCUAUAAUCUCCAAAUUCCACAUUUAUUGUAGCUGUCUGCAGUGUGUAUGCCCCGGCCGCAUGCUGCUUGGCUAAAAAAGUGUUAAAUAAAACUGUAAGAAACGCUACCAGG